GCCACGCUGAAGGCGGGAGGAUAUCACUUCCCGGGAGAUGAUCCUCUCCACAUUACCAUGCCUGGCCCCUCCCAGCCGUCUACAUGCCCACAGCCAUCUACAGGGCCACAGCAUCUGCCAGGAGGUUCAGAGGCACCGGCCAGCAGUGACGAACAGAUCCGACUCCCCCAUGUAUGAAGUACCUGCAACUGCAAAGGUGUUGCUCAGAAAAGGCUGCAAAUCUGCUUGGAGUGGCGAGGAAGUCUGAGUCUUCAGCGCUGGAAGGACAGGGCUUUUCUUUGCUGACUCAGAGGAAGGUCUGAGCCCUUCUCAGCCCCAUAAUUUUACUUUCCCACUUCACGGUGCACCAUGCAAAUUCCUCUGGGGAAGCCUGCAAUGCUCCUCUGGAUGCUGGUCAUCACCUUUCCUGCAGCCCUUAAAGGUACCCUUUCCCCCAUAAAGAUGGUGGCGUCUGGUCCCAAGGAGGGGAGGGUCUCCGGAUCACUCCCGCUCACCUGUACUGUAACGGGAACACCUCUGUAUAGCCCUCGAUACGACUGGAAUUGUGUCCGACAGGCCCCAGGAGGGGAGCUGCAGUUUUUAGGCUGGAUCUAUCCUUUUGGGAAUAACACAGGCUACGCCCCAGCCUUCCAAGGCCGAGUCACCAUCUCUGCGGAUAAAGACAAAGGCAAGGUCUCCCUGCGGCUGGGUGCUCUGAGAGCCUCAGACACAGCCACCUACUUCUGCGCCAGGCAGCACACAGUGACGCUGACGGAGGGAGAGGCAGCACAAAAAGGGCGGUGGUGACAGGGCCCUUUCUCGAAAUGGCAGCUGCCUGUGCUUGCUCUGGGAAACACCAACGAGGUUUGGGGUUAACAGAUGUUGGAACUCCAAAUCUACCCAUGGGCAACUGAAUUUGCAGUAAAAUUCGACAUUUAUAAUGGCAGUUAGAAAUAAAAUUCCGCGUGUGAAUAAGUCCCAUGGGCGGGUCAGUCCCCCAACCCUUCACACACCUGCAUUCACUGACUUCCUCACAAGCUACCAUCACCUCCUCUUCCUCACAGCUACCCUGGUGCUCCUUCAGUC